rnacentral:rRNA from 1 species
AGUGAACGCUGGCGGUAGGCCUAACACAUGCAAGUCGAACGGCAGCACAGUAAGAGCUUGCUCUUACGGGUGGCGAGUGGCGGACGGGUGAGGAAUACAUCGGAAUCUACUUUUUCGUGGGGGAUAACGUAGGUAAACUUACGCUAAUACCGCAUACGACCUACGGGUUAAAGCAGGGGAUCUUCGGACCUUGCGCGCUUGUAUGAGCCGAUGUCGGAUUAGCUAGUUGGCGGGGUAAAGGCCCACCAAGGCGACGAUCCGUAGCUGGUCUGAGAGGAUGAUCAGCCACACUGGAACUGAGACACGGUCCAGACUCCUACGGGAGGCAGCAGUGGGGAAUAUUGGACAAUGGGCGCAAGCCUGAUCCAGCCAUACCGCGUGGGUGAAGAAGGCCUUCGGGUUGUAAAGCCCUUUUGUUGGGAAAGAAAAGCAGCAGGUUAAUACCCCGCUGUUCUGACGGUACCCAAAGAAUAAGCACCGGCUAACUUCGUG